AAGAGUGAAAAAAAAAUCCAACAAAAAUUGUCCCUUACCUCAUCUGCUCCCAUUCUAAGCCUGUGACAGAGAGAUGGAGCAAGCCUGUGCUGGGAGCAAAAGCUUGAGCCAGGACACACAGAACUGUGGAGAAUCAGUCUGUAGGGACUCACUGGUUGGUCCUUAUGAGGGAAGCAGGGAGGGAUGGUGCUAAAAUAAGAUGCAGGACACAUUUCUUGCAGGACUUUCCAAUGGCUGUAUCUACAUCUGAGAAGAAGCAGUGAGAUGCUGUUGGUCCCUGGAACAAUGUAGGGACAAAUGUGUUGGUGACUGUCCCAGCCCUCUUGCUUCCCUGAGCCCAGUUUUCAUCUGUGCAGCUGCCUCCCUGCUCAGUGAAAUCCAGUGGACCUUGUGAAGGAACCAAGGAGACAGAGGCCAUCUCAGCCUUCCUAUUUAUCAGGGAAUGAUUCAUUAAUAAUUAGUGCUAUUAGGUGCACCACAGCACUGCCUGAGGGCCUCACUGAAAUCGAAGUGAGCUUGUUAAAUCUGGAGAGCCUGAUUCUCCCUCUAUUAUGCUCUCCUGGUGCAGAGGUGAUGCCUGCAGGGUGGGCAGCAGGAGUAGUCUUGGCUUUCUAGGCAUGCAGUCUCUCUGCCUUCCCCCUCCCUCCUCCGUCUCCAGCUUCUCCUUCACUGCAGAUCUGCUGCAGAGUGAGACUGGUGCAGAAGGUGGUUAGCAGGACUCACAGGAGGAGGUGGACAAAUCAGGUUGUUUUUCAGAGCUACUUCAUUCUUCAUCACAAGGACAAAGGAGUGGGGUUUGGUGUUUGUUUCUUUCUUUGUGUUUUUCUCUUUGUUUGUUUUCUUUGGUUUGAUUUCUUUCAUGUUUUGUGGGCAGGCAAAGUGAUGAGGCCUGUAAAGUCUUUUACAAAAUCAGAUGCAAUUUUAGCUGCCUUAGAGAUCUGCUGUAGGCUAUGGGAUGCUGAUGAUGAAUGGUACUGUUGGGAAAAUUCACUUCCAGCUGGCUGCUGCCUCUCCUGAAGGACAGUUUCAACCCAAGGCUCUUUUCAGUGAUGCUACAGCAAGGGGCUUUCAUUCACUUUGGGGUAAAGAGUUUCUGCUGCCCAGUUCCACCAGGGCAAAGAAAAGCUGAAGGUGAUGAGUGAGACAAACAUAUCUCUGUCAUUGUUGAAUGUUUGGCUGCUCCUUCCUCUUCAAGUCUCCACGGUGGAUCUGCAUUAGAAUAUCUUACUCAAAGUCUCCUCAGCUAAUGUUUUGCUAAUAGAUGGGCAGGUUGUACUGGAUAGACUUUGCCUUUCAGGAUUCAAAAAUAGGUUUAAAUGGUCCAAAUGGUCAGAAAUCCAGCCUCUGUCCCCACUUUUCUAGUUGGCAUUGUUUGGUUUAGUGUGUAUGUUUGUUUAUUUCUUAAGCUGGUAAGAAGGAAAGAUAGAAGCAGCCUGCUUAGGUUCAAGGUGAGACUGACAAUCAGUUCACCUGCACACUGGUAUUCAUAGCCAUGCUUCAUAGAAUCAAUCAGGUUGGAAGAGACCUCCAAGAUCAUUCAGUCCAGCCUAGCACCCAGCCCUAUCCAGUCAGCUAGACCAUGGCACCAAGUCUAGUACAGCAGCAGAAGUCCUUGCCCACAUGUGCUGGAAGUCUCAGCAAGGGAAACAACGUUGCUGUGGAGGACAACUAACUGAUCCUGACCUCCUUCACACAGCCCUUCUCUGGGAAGAAGCAUCCCCCGAAGUGAACCACCACUCUUGCCAAGGUCUGUGAUCAUCAUUGAAUCAACCAGGUUGGAAGAGACCUCCAGGAUCAUCCAGUCCAAUGAUGUAAGAUUUGGUUUUGCUCUGUUGGGGAGACAUUUCAUUUGGUCUCACUCCCCCUUUCCUUCUGCUGUCUAUUUAAUGGGAAUAGCACAUGGAGACCUUUGGUGGGUAAGAAACACUGCACGAGGAGGUAGGCAUUUUUAAUUAGAACAAUCUUAUUUUAUCUUCUAGUCUCCACCAGAAGAAAAAAAGCCUGGACUGAAAUGACAAGAAGAAGUGCUAGGUGAAGGAUGCUUCCCUGUGGCUUCAUAGAUCAGCAGAUCUGUUGGUGACAGAAAACAUCCAACUCGGGUGCACAAGAGUGGCAGUUCACCUUUCCCUCCAAAGAAGCCUCGCUUUAAGGGAUGCUGUAGCACACCCACCUAAUGGACAUGCUGCACUGAUGGCAUUUCUCACUGUGAAUUUCAGCCUCUGCCCUUGGCCAAGCUGUGGAAGACAAUCUGUGGUAUCUGCCCUGGUGUAGAGCAGGCUGUCCAGAGAGGUUGUGGAGUCUCCUCUGGAGAAACUCCAAAACCACCUAGACGUUUUGACCCUGGGCAGCCUGCUGUGGGUGAGCCUGCCUUAGCAAAAGAGGCUGGACUAGAUGAUGCCCAGAGGUCCCUUUCAACUCCAUCGUGGUGGGGUUCUGUGAUUCUGUUAGUGAUUUGCCCUCUCUCCACCUAAAUCAGAGAUCUGCAACAUCAAUACUUAGAACACUCAGAAAAAGAGGACAUUGAUAUUUCCCUGAUCAUGCCAAGUUGCACAACUGCCCAGUCUCCAUUUUAAUGUCAGCUGUGGUUAGUUUGUUUGGCUUUUUUUGCCUCAAGCUGAGUGACUUCAGCUUUUCUUUGAAUCUCACCAAUGUGAACAGCUUGUUAUUUUCCAUUGCUGGUGUUAACAAGGAACAAAGAGGAGUUUCUUCAGGCUCACCAGUCAGGCAGUCCUGAGGUGACUGACUAGGAGGAAAUGUCACAGCAGGAAUAAAUGAGAGCCAUCCUACACGCUAGGCACAGUUCUUGAUGGCCUUUGUCUUAUGCUCCAACUCAUGCUCAACCAACUGCCUUUAGCCACCAUAAUAUAGACAAGUGCACAGAAAAAUGAGCUGGGCAUGGUGCUUAGAAAUCAUGUCCCAUUCAAAGACAGCUUUACCAAACCAUAGCAUAGAAUCAUAGAAUCAUAGAAUCAACCAGGUUGGAAGAGACCUCCAAGAUCAUCCAGUCCAACCUAGCACCCAGCCCUAUCCAAUCAACCAGACCAUGGCACUAAGUGCCUCAGCCAGGCUUUGCUUGAAGACCCCCAGGGACGGUGCCUCCACCACCUCCCUGGGCAGCCCAUUCCAAUGCCAAUCACUCUCUCUGUGAAGAACUUCUUCCUAAUAUCCAGCCUAUACCUACCCUGGCACAACUUGAGACUGUGUCCCCUUGUUCUAUUGCUGGUUACCUGGGAGAAGAGGCCACCCCCCACCUGGCUACAAUGCCCUUUCAGGUAGUUGUAGACAGUAAUAAGAUCACCCCUGAGCCUCCUCUUCUCCAGGCUAAACAGGCCCAGCUCCCUCAACCUCUCCUCAUAGGAUUUGUGCUCCAGGCCCCUCACCAGCUCUGCCAGAGCUCUGCCAGCUCACAACAGUUUAGGAUUUGCUCCUCUCCACAUUAGUUCCCAGUUUCCAAUCUUUUCAUGAACUAGAUCAUGUAAAUAGAGGGUAUUGGAGUCACAGGGAAGUUGGAUAGUGUUGAGUAGUGGCUGGGCCAACUGCAAGACAAAUGAGAGAGCCUCUCUAUAAACCCCACUCCCUUCCUAAAGGGAAGAGAAAAGGAAUAUUGAAGAAGCCCUGAUGGAUUGGGAAAGAACACUAAGCCACCUUGGAUGGAAAUAACAAUAAGAUUAAAUCAAUACAAAGAGAUACAAACCAAUAUCCAAACCAACCCAAUUCCUGAUGGCACUGGCAUCACUGUCACCAAUGAUGCUGGGGCAAGCCACUGGGGAAGUCUCAGCAAAUAGGAACUGGAUUCAGAAACUGGACUUUGAAACUGGAUUCAAGAAGUAUUGGGAUCACAGGCAGAACAGAUAGAGUCUUCCUCAGACACCAGCCAUUGAAGGCUUGACCCUGGUGAUCCCUCAGCUCUAUUCUGAUUAUGAUAUCCAUGGGAUGGAGUGCCUUGAUGGUCAGCUUACAGUCAACUGUUCUGUCUGCUCCUCCCUGCAGGAGCCACCUCUGACUUCCUGCACCCCAACGUGGGGCACAAGUUUUAGCAGUGCCCUUGGUCUGCACAAGAGCAAGUCAAAGCAAGAGCCUUUCUGCAGCCCAGCCCUUGGCAGUAACUCUAACCACCAGGGUUAUCUCUGCUAGAGACAGCCACUGUCUGUGAAAACCUGCUGUGAACUUCAGAGAAAGUGCCAUCACUGAGCAGAGAUGGAGCUCAGAAGUCUGAUCACUGAACAGAAUUAGUUCUGUUCCAGCUCAGACUAGAACAAUUCCCCAUCAGUACUGGUGUGAGGAGGAUCAGCAAUUAGCUCCAAAUUCACCCCACCAGCCUGCUUCUCCUCAGCUCCCCCCUUGCUGCUCUGUAACUGCAGGCUCUAGAAUAAAGCAAGAAAAAUAUGUAGCUCAUGCUGAUAUUAAUCAAGUUGUCUUCUGAGCUGCUGGAUCUGUGAAAUUAUACCUCCCUUGGUGUUCAGUGGCAAUGACUGUCUCCUCUGUGGACUUUGGGGUGUCUACCAAUGCAGUUUGUUUUCUGCAGUGGGUGCACUCCCAUGGUUUUCCUUCCACAGCACUUGCAGGCAGCUCAAAUCUUUGGAACUGCCAUCUCCUGUCAAGUUCACUCAGACUCAGCUCACAAGCUCAGAAUUUUACUUAGAACUGGCACUUGCAUAGCCAGUGUGAUCUGAUAAGCUUUCCCUUCCUUGGGAAACUAGGCUACCAAGCUAGCAACGGGGGGAGAAAUGUCAUCCUGCUAGCAAGAAAGGACCUAAAUACUGAGAGGAGAGAGGGAAGGUGGGAGAGGAAAGGAAAGCUGUUUUGACAGCAAAAAGGUUGUGGCUGAAUAGAUCUUGCAGAGCAAAAAAGCCAGCCUUGGAGAGACAUGCUGGAGAAAAUAUGCUCCAGGAGAUAGCAAGUUCUCUUGUGAAAGUUAGUAGAGGAGAGAAAUUAGGUGGCUUCAUCUCACCAGGUGUCCUGAAUGAAUAUUUAUGUGGUUAGGAUUGUCUCCAGUGGUGCCUGUGUCUCUCUACUGGCUAGAAGAAGCCUCCUGUGCCGGCGGUAUCUGAAGUGAGGUAGGUCCUAUGGCAGAGGCAGUGGUCCUCUUGUCACUGCCUCCCUCAGAUCCAAGUUUCCUAUGGUCCAGCUGCAGGGUUUGUUAGUUCCUGUGCCACAUUUGUGUUUUACAAAGCAGCAGUGUGCCCUAAUGGCUGCAGAUAUAGGAAUGCUUUCACUGGUCCUUUAUAAGUACUUAUCCUCUGUGCACUAAAACCUUUCCUGCCCUUGUACCUUACUGAAUAAAAUCCUUUAAAUGA